rnacentral:rRNA from 1 species
CGUUGCCUGCACCUGCCGGCGACCGGCGCACGGGUGAGUAACACGUAUGGAACCUGCCCGCCACAGGGGGAUAACCCGGGGAAACCCGGCCUAAUACCCCAUGCCGCCCGGGCCGGGCAUCCGGUCCGGGCGAAAGGAGGAAUCCGGUGGCGGCUGGGCAUGCGGCGCAUUAGCUUGACGGCGGGGUAACGGCCCACCGUGGCGACGAUGCGUAGGGGUUCUGAGAGGAAGGCCCCCCACACUGGAACUGAGACACGGUCCAGACUCCUACGGAAGGCAGCAG